rnacentral:lncRNA from 1 species
GGCUGACGAUUUGAGGUCAGACCAUCUGAUGACGGGUAAGGACCAUUUGUAGUAUUGGACAACCUAAAACAGGCACGGUCCCUAAGCCACAUACUUGUUGUUCAAUAAAACAAAAGAAGGGAGGAGAUGUUGGGGACCGCAAAUCAAGUCAAGAUGGCGCCUGGCAGUUUGCCAGGAGGAGUGGUUUGUGAAGCAAGGCCACCGAGCCAUUUAGAUGGUGGGGAUUCCUAUUUGGCUGAUUGCUGUAUCUAGAUGAUGCUAAUUGAGUCAAGCUGUGUGUAAUCAGUUAGGUAUACAUACCUCUGCUGUCCCGCAAUAAAGCGGCUCCUACUACCUUGGGUGCCCACUACCUUGAGUUCCCGCUGAGUUUCCCUGCAAUAAAGCAGCUCCCGCUUCAACCUUCAAGUUG